CGGGCCGGCUCAACCAGGGGUGCGGGCUGGCCAAAGCCGGAGCCCGGAGUUCCCUCCCGGGUGACCCCCAAGGGCAUUCGUCGGAAUCAGCCGCCCCCAGCCACCCCGAUAAUCCGCCUUAUACGGGGACAAAAGAUUGACUGAGUGGAGCGGGGCGGGGCCCAGGGGUCCUGACGCCCGCAGAGGAGCUGGGAUCAACAUGGGAGGCGCCGAGAGUGGAAUCAUUGUCCGUCGGAAAACAUCUCGCAGGCGGAACCGGCCGAACGCGGCGCGGUGGGAGCGGAACCCCGAGAGGGGAUGAGCGCAUCCCGCGGGAAGCUGCCUGGCCUAUUCUUACAGAACCCGAGCAAAACACCUCCCACGCGCCACCUCGGGAGAGAAGGCGGAAUGAGUAAUGGAAAAGCAUGACUUGAGUUUUACUCUCGCCCAGGCUGAGCUCAGUGGCACGAUGU
rnacentral:lncRNA from 10 species